rnacentral:lncRNA from 1 species
AGUAGGCUUAGUAUAUAGAUGAUUUAGGCAUAGACUCUCCCUUUGCUUCUAAGAUUAUCCAGGAAGUUAUCUCUCAUUCAUAAUGCAGGUCAGCUGCAGUAGCCCAUUUCUAUCGUGUUUUCUGGUUUAUCUCACACAGUUACUUGUAUAUAUUCAAAUGAAAGCUUUGAAUUAUAAAUCUAAAUUUAAUUGUAACUUAAGAGAUUUGUUUUGACAAAUUAUUUUAAGUAUACUGUUAAUGUGUGAAGCACUUUUUAAAAAAGUAUCAGAAGUCAGAGUGCUCUGUAAAAUAGUAAUUUUCAAGCAAGUAGGGUCAUGAAGAAAAAGUUAAUUGAGCUCAAUUUGGAGUGUUUAAAUUAUGCCCAAGCUUGACCCUUGACUCAA